rnacentral:lncRNA from 1 species
CUUCACAAUAUGUUGGUGCAUUGUCCCUAACAGUCCUCGCUUUGCAAGUAUAGUAGAAGAAGAUAUUUGUAGGUGGUUUGAUGCCAUCUGUUUAUUACGUGGGACCCACACAUGGAACUUGUGCAUUCCGAUGGAAGCGGGGGCGGGCACAGUUUUGAGUGGCGUACUGCCGUUUGGAGUCCCAUUGACACGGUAGAAGGCAACCUACGAUGGGAGCGGCGUCAAGAAGUAUGACGACGAUGACGGUGCAACCGUUGUUGGGCUCCGUAAAUAGAAACAAAGCUAAGGAUGGGAAUGAUUAAGUUUGAAGGCUGUAUUUUUUUCAUACAAACUUUUGCAUACAAUCUUGGAUGAACACAAACUUUAUAUCAAAAUUGUAGAGCUCGAUGAGAUUUUAAACUUUGUAGUUGACAACUUUUUCAUUCGAGAUAGUUUAGUAGUCCAAAAAUAUGUUAUAAGUUCUGAGAAAAAAUACAUUUGGCAUGUCAUCGAUCCACAACUCCAAAACCGAGCAUUCCUAUUAGCCAAACUCUCCUCCCACCCUUCCCUCUCACCAGCCAACCUUAUCUCCUCCCUCUCUCUUCUCUCCUACCUCUCCUCUCUCUCCCGGCCCUAUCUCCUCUCUCUCUCUUUCUCUUCUCCCACCUCUCCCCUCUCUCUUCUCUCCCACCUCUCCGGCGCGCCCCGGCGGCCGGCGCGGCCCCCUCCACCUCCACAAUUGCAGUAAAGUUUGAGGAUCUUUUUGCAAAAUCAUCAAGACAUAUUCCAAGGACUACGGGUUGAUAAAAAAAAAGUUGAGGGACUUUUUGCAAAACAACCACGACGGUUGGAAGAAACAACCGUAUUUUAAUAUUAGGUAUAGAUAAUGUACCAGCUAGGCAAAUGAAAUAGUCUGAAAAAAU